GAAGCUGGUCAAAGCUGACGUGGACUCCGAUCUUCUCCCGGUGGUUCCGCCCAGACCACCUGAAGACAUCGUAGCAUGCAAAUUAAGAAAGCGUUUGAGGUGAAGCCGCAGGACCUGAGGCAGUUUGUGGACCAUCAGCUGUUUCUGUGCUUCGGUCAGGAUAACUGGUUUGGAGGAGGUCCGCCGUCGAGCAGCUGCACACAAGAGCUCCUCAGCUCUCCUCUGCAGACUUCAAAGAGCUUUUUGGCAUCAGACUGGAAAGAUCCGACUUCCACAUAGCUGUCUCCCUCCAAAUGAUGAUACAGAUGAGUAAAAGGCUGCAGCAGUGAGUUUUACAAAUUGUUGAAGCAGCUAUUUGUAACUCCAAAGAGCCCACAGUCAUGGACAGAUCAGGAAACGCAGACACAGACAUGUAAAAGGUCCCCACCCCUCCUGCCUGGAGGAAGACACCCAGACACUCUUUUUUCCAUCUUCACGGUGAUUUUGUCUCUUUUCGAUCAUUGUACAUCUCUUUAUCAUCAUUUUUCGUCUCUUUAUGGUUACUGUAACCCCUGCAUGCACCUCUCGCUCCACCCCGACUCUUGACACACACACACACACACACACACACACACAUUAUCAUCAUGCCAUGACUGACACAGUGACUGACUGACAGAUUGGUUAAUUACACAGAGCAACUCAAAAGAAGGGAGAAGAAAAAUAGGCUAAAUGAUGUAAGGACAGGGGUAUUUCAGACAUGCAGAGAAAGCUCCACUGCAAUUUCAGAGGAAUUUUCUUCUGACAGAACCUAGCCUGUUACUGUAGGAAGUCAGAUGUUAGUUUUAUUCAAAGUAUCAGGUUUGAACUUGUUGGACACUUUAGUAACAGCUGAAUGCUUCAACGCAGAAAAAUGAGUAAAAUCUUCAGACUAUUUGUGCCUGGAGAGAAACAGCUGCCCAGACAGAGAGCCAGUGCGACCCAGAUAUGACAGUCAUUUCACUUUUGCUCCUAAACAGGUCAGAGUUUUCACUCACUGAAUAAUUGAAGUUCAUGUUAAUGUGAAAAGAUUCUAUACAGCAGAUAUGUACGUCAAGUCAGGGCAGACAGACGGCUAAUUCACAGUGUUAUGUUACG